UACGAAGGGGGCUAGCGUUGUUCGGAAUUACUGGGCGUAAAGCGCACGUAGGCGGGUUGUUAAGUCAGGGGUGAAAUCCUGGAGCUCAACCCCAGAACUGCCUUUGAUACUGGCAACCUAGAGACUGGAAGAGGUUAGUGGAAUUCCCAGUGUAGAGGUGAAAUUCGUAGAUAUUGGGAAGAACACCAGUGGCGAAGGCGGCUAACUGGUCCAGCACUGACGCUGAGGUGCGAAAGCGUGGGGAGCAAACAGG
rnacentral:rRNA from 1 species